AGCUUCGACUGGUUUUGUUUCGUCUUAGUUUCUCCUCUCGCAACUCCCCCAAUAACACAGCCAUCUUCUAACGUCUAAUUUGUUACACAUCCAUCGACGACCCAAGAGCUUCGAGGUCUGUCGAUCCAGGUCGUCUCCUCUUCAAUCCUUUGCCUAUUUCAUCGAUCGUACUCGACUCCCCCAUCCAAACAUUCCACCUCAAUCUUGAUCACAUCCGACUCCAGCAAGUCGUCCGACGAUCCCGACCGCUGGGCGGGUUGGUGCCCAUCUCUCUCGCCUCAACUCUCUUUGCCAACUCUGGGUUCUGGGUCUGUUCUUCUUUUUCUUUGGAGAAGAAGAUCUGGGUUCCUUCAUUCUCUACUCAAUUCGCUUUGGAUUGUCUUACUUUUUCAAAUUGCUGCUUUUUUUUGUUCACUUUCUGCUUUCCCGUUUGGAUACUGCAAAAUCGGUAUUUCAUGAUUCCAAGUGCCAGAGUACUCUGUUUGGAUAAAUAGGGUUUAGGCGAUGUCUUCCAACAAUGAUGGCUACAUAAUUCACUCGAAUCGGCAGUUUCUUGUACGUCCGGCUACAAGGGAUGAGUCUCCAGCGAGCACAUUUCGUCCACGGGCUAAACCGCUAUGUCAAUAUCGUCACUACAGUAUUCACUAGCAAUAUCAAAAAAUGAAAGGCGAAAUCUGUUUUUGGUGCUUUUUGACUAUGUUUUGCAUCAAAUUAACGAAGCAAGCAUAGCUACAGGAGGCACAGAGUAUAGUGAUGAUGAGAUUCAGCCUCUUGUGGCUCUUCUCACAAUGGCGGAUGCGUCUGAAGCCAUUUAUAUCUGUAUUAAGCUUGGAUUGACAGGCAUUGGGGAGCUUAUGAAGAAUUCUAUUUUCUGAUGCAGUGUCUAGAUAUCCAAACAGUGAACGGCUAAAUAUGAUGUUAGAGAGUGUAAUGGAGAAAUUUGGUGCAACCAUAAGUUCAUUUACUCAUUUGGACACGGAGUUCUUCCAUAUGAUGGAAAUAACAAAAUCCUGUAAGUCUUUGGAUAGCAUUGAACGUGCAGUUCUAAGAAAUGGCGUUGGCAUGAAAGCAAAGCUCUCAUGGGCUGUUUUGCAUUCACUACUUCAUCCUGGAAAUUCUGCAUACCAUCGAAAUGCGUGUGUCUGGUUAGGCGACCUGCUUAUUGCUGAAAUUAGUGAUGAAAGGAAUUCAAGUAUAUGGUCCAAUAUCAAAAACGUGCAGCAGAAAAUAUUCCUUGCUGGUGUUCAUGAUUCUGCAGUCGCUUCAGAUGUUCCUAUACCCAUUUGGCUUAUGUGUGGUCUUCUUCUGUAGUCAAAGCACACAUCAUCAGAUGGGGUUUUUUAUUUGUUCUUGAAAGGCUUCUCAUGAGGUGUAAAAUUUUGUUAAAUGAAACUAAAACCCAGCCUUCACACGACAGUGAUAUUGGGAGCGUACACACGGAUAAUCGUCUUGAGAAAGCUAAUGCAGUGAUAGACAUCAUG